UAUAUAUAUAUAUAAAAAAAAAAAAACACCCAGCACGCCCCUGCGGGCGGUUUAUCCUUCAAGCUCGGGUCCUCUACCAGAGGCCUGGGAGCUUGAGGGUCCUGCGCAGUAUCUUAGCUGUUCCCAGGACUGCGCUCUUCUGGACAGAGAUCUCCGAUGUUGUUCCCGGGAUCUGCUGGAGCCGUUCGCCUAGUUUGGGAGUCCCCACACCGAGUGCUCCGAUUACCACGGGGACCACCCUCACCCUCCACAUCUUCUCCAGCUGGUACACUACCAAAACUUUGGACACAUUUAAUGUUUUUUCUUUAGUUUCAUGACUGUUUUAGAGUCUCACUGAAGGCAUCCAAACUAUGAAUGAACACAUGGAAUUGAAGGAGUUCCCAGAGAUGCUGAGCACCUGUUGGCCUUUUUGCCUUCACACUGCGCUCCAUCUCAUCCCAAACCAUCUCCACUGGGUUUAGGUCAGGUGACUGUGGAGGCCAGGCCAUCUGGCACAGACAUCACUCUCCUUCAUGGUCAAACAGCCCUCACACAGCCUGGAGGUGUGUUUGGGCUCAUUGUCCUGUCCUGUGGCUGCAGGAUGCUGUGGUAGCCAUGCUGGGUCAGUUUGCUUUCAAUGAUGCUUUUCCUUAGUCGUGGUUUCUUUCUUUCACCAGUGUGUGAAUGUGUGUGUGAAUGGGUGGAUGACUGAAUGUGUAAAGCGCUAUACAGAUACAGGCCAUUUACCAUUUCUUAGCAGCUGUUUGACCAUAAAGGCCUGAUUCACACAGACUCCUCUGAACAUGUAGAGAUGUGUCUGCUGCUGGAGCUCUGAUCUGAGCUGCUGCUAACUUGUAAUUUCUGAGGCUGGUGACUCGGGUGAAUGUAUCCUCAGCAGCAGAGGAGACUCUUGGUCUUCCUUUCCUGGGCCGAUCCUCAUGUGAUAUAGUUUUCAUCAAAUUUCGUCAAAUAGGCCUGUCAGCUGAGUUAUUUAUCACUUUUUUGUUUGCUACAUUAUUCCAUAAAUCUUGCUUCAUAUAUUAGAUGUCUUUAACAUGUAUAUAUAAUGUAGAUGCAGUAAAAUUAAAGAAAAGCAUUAAAUAAGAGGCUGUGUCCAAACUUUUGACUGGUAUAUAUAAUUAGGGAUGUUCCCAGUGACUAAUUUCUUAGUGGACUGAGUUCAAAGAAACACUUGGAUAUUAGGUUAAAUUUACAUGAGUAUAAAUGGCUCUUACAGGUUGCGCCAGCCCUUUUAUAGUAACAGACCCUUGAGAGUUAUUUCCAGGCGACUAAAUGUAACCAAAUCAGUUAUCAAGUGCACCAAUCUAGAGGGGAGUUGCCAGGACAGGUGUGACUGGUAGGACCAGGCUUGCAAGGCUGCCCAGGUCUCUGUUUUUUCUUAUCAGAGGAGGCAGGGAAGACACCUGGAUAACAGAGGCAGUCAGUACUGGGCUAAUCCCCUCACCUAUCAGGCUCCAUCUAAGCUCUGUACUGCCACAAAGACCCAUAGCAUCAGAGGUUGGGACUUUUAAACAGAGAGCCAAUCCAGACUUCUUGGAUUGGGGUACCGUUUCCUUCAGAUUGACACACUGCUGAAGUACUGCUCUACUUAUUGUUGAGAUGUUACCAUGCCGUAGGAAGGAAGUAAUGCUUUGCUUAAAAACUUUCUCUUAAAAGAUUUUUUUUUUUUUUGAUCAAGGUCUUUUUAUUGAACAAAGAAUUGCUUCCAACAACAAUUAUGGCAAAAUUAACAAACAGUUGUGCCCCCACCCCCCCAGAACAGUGUCUCUUAAAAGAUAUUUGGUAGAAACAGGGACAGUCUCUGGAACAAGAAAAUGAAUUUAGAAACAAUGUUGUUCACAGCGUGGAUUCUGCCUAUUAAUGACAUUGGGAGGUUGUCCCAUGUUUGGAAGACCUGCUUCAUUUUGGAGUAAGCUCCAGUUGGGAGAAUAGAAGCAGACUGAGUGUAGUAGUAGGGCCAAUUUAAUUUGAAUCUUUUUAAGAGAUUCUCAAAAGGUUCCAGAGUUGGGGCCAGAGACUUUAUAAUUCUGCAUGUCUGUGAUUGUGUAUUAUCUUUUGGAUAGUUUGUGGAAAAUUAUCGUCAGCAGCUGAGAUUCUGGAUCAUUAAUAUGCAAAUUGUCAUGACCAUGAUCGACAACCAUUGAUCAAAGGCCAUGAGUACCAUUCACAGAGAGUUGGGCAGUGGUUGCAAUCACAGCAUUGUACUGUUUAUAAGGUUGGGGAAACCUGCCGUCAGCUGAGCCUGAAGAAGUCACCUGAAUGAGUGAUGAAAUGUUUCUCCCACUGAAAACAUCCAGAUGAACAGAAUCAACUUUUUGCUUACCUGGAUGAUUGAGCAUGCAUCAGCACACUCAUUUGUUGUCUUGGCUGUGUGGUUAGGAAUGUUGUCCUGUUAGAAGAUGGACUUUUGUCCCAGUUUGCGAUCCAUAGAGCUCUGGACACAUAACUGCAUUCAUCUUUCCCUCGACCCUGACUACUCUAUCAGUUUCCCAGUUCCCUCUGCUGAAAAACAUCCCCACAGCAUGAUGCUUCCACCACUGUGCUUCACUGUAACGAUUUUAUUGGCAGACAAGGAGUGGUGCCAUGACGCUUGGCAUUCAGGCCAAAGAGUUCAACCCUUGUCUCAUCAGACCAGAGAAUUGUGCUUCUCGUGGUCUGAGAAUCCUUUAGGUGCUUUCUGGGAAACUCCAGGUGAGCCGUCACCUUCUACUGAGGAGUGGGCUCAGUCUGAUGACUCUACCAUACAGGCCUGAUUGGUGCUGCAGAAAUGGUUGGACUUCUGGAAGGUUCUCUGUCCACAGAGCAACACUGGAGCUCUGUCAGAGUGACCAUCAGGUUCUUGGACACCUCCAGCUCCAGGUAGAGUCCUGGUGGCUCCAAAUGUCUCCCAUCUAUGGAUAAUGGAGUCCACUGUACUCAUUGGGACCUUCAAUGCUGCAGAAUCUCUUCGUACCCUUCUGCAGACCUGUGCCUCGAUACAAUCCUGUCACUGAGGUCUACAGACAAUUCUUUGGACUUCAUGGCUUGGUUGGUGCUCUGACACCUGUCCAUGGUUUGGACCUUACAGAGACAGGUGUGUACUUUCCAGAUCAAGUCCAGUAAACUGAAUUUACCACAGGUGGACUCCAGUCAAGUUGUAGACACAUCUGACAGAUGAACAGUGGAAACAGGAAGCACCUUAGCUCAGAUCUGGAUGUCACGUAAUGUUUUUGUUCGCUAUUUUUAAUAAAUUUGCAAGAACAUCAAAGUCUUGUUUUCACUUGUCAUUUUGUGUGUAGAAUUUUGAAGUGAGAAAUGAAUUAAAUUUUUGAAUUAAGCUGUAACAUGAAAAUAUGAGGAAGCGCCGUGAAUCCUUUCUGGAUGCACUGUAACUUGUUUCUGUGAAUCAUUGCAGUCUGCUGAUGCACUGUUGUUGUCUGACCCCUUUGCAAAGACAAAUUAAACCUCACAUUGACAACCU
ensembl:lncRNA